GAUUGCUUCGUCGCCAGUGCUCCUCGCAAUGACGCAACUACAGAGCUUCGCCCUUGAGCAACCGCGGCACUUCGCCGGACAGACCAGCGGCCUGACGAAUGAACGCGCUUUUCAGCGGCGGCACGCGAUCCACAAGACCAAGCCCGAUAUCCCGCACCGUCCGCAGCAGAGCCGACUUGUUCGAGAACAGCAUGUUGAGCGA
rnacentral:misc_RNA from 1 species